UUUCGAGGCUGUUUAAAUGGAUU
rnacentral:miRNA from 1 species